rnacentral:rRNA from 1 species
GACAGAGGAUGCAAGCGUUAUCCGGAAUGAUUGGGCGUAAAGCGUCUGUAGGUGGCUUUUUAAGUCUGCCGUCAAAUCCCAGGGCUUAACCCUGGACAGGCGGUGGAAACUACCAAGCUGGAGUAUGGUAGGGGUAGCGGGAAUUCCCAGUGUAGCGGUGAAAUGCGUAGAUAUUGGGAAGAACACCAGCGGCGAAAGCGCGCUACUGGGCCAUUACUGACACUCAUGGACGAAAGCUAGGGGAGCGAAAGGG